ACAUCUUGAUUUUUUUUGCAUGCCAAGUUUUCAAACAAAUCACUAUAUAUAUACUAUGAAAAUAACUUAAUUAAUGAUAACUUUUGUUUACACUAGUUUUAUAAGUGGGUUUAGUUUGGAUUAUUGUUACAUAUUGGUGAAUACUCGAUCCAAUUGAUUAACACACUUAACAAGGUUGUCCUAAAGAAUAAAAGUUAAAAGAAAACUACUAUUUUGACCCCGAUUAAAAAACUACUAUUUAAAAAAAAA
rnacentral:lncRNA from 1 species